ACCCAUAGCAUAUGAAAUUCCCAAGCUAGGGGUUGAAUCGGAGCUGUAGCCACUGCCUACACCACAGCCAUAGCAAUGCAGGAUCUGAGCCGUGUCUGCAACCUACACCACAGCUCAUAGCUACGCCAGAUUCUUAACCUACUGAAUGAGGCCAGGGAUUGAACCUGCAUCCUCAUGGAUACUAGUCGGGUUUGUUACCACUGAGCCAUGAUGGGAACUCCUAUCUGCUCUGAUCUUUAUGAUUUCUUUCCUUCUGCUAACUUUGAGUUUUGUCUGUUUUUGUCUCUCUAAUUGCUUUAGGUGUAAAGUUAGGUUGUUUAUUUGAGAUUUUUCUUGUUUCCUGAGGUAGGCUUAUAUUACUAUAAACUUCUCUCAGAACUGCUUUUGCUGCAUCCCAUAGGUUUUGGAGUGUUGUGUCUUUGUUGUCAUUUGCUCCUAGGUAUUUUUUAAUUUCCUCUUUGAUUUCUUCAGUGAUUGGUUGUUUAGUAGCCUGUUGUUUAGUCUCCACGUGUUUGUGUUUUUUGCAGCUUUUUUCUUGUUGGUUUCCAGUCUCUAGUGUUGCGGCUGGAAAGGAUGCUUGAUAUGAUUUCAAUAUUCUUAAAUUUACCAGCUCUUGAUUUGUGGCCCAGAAUGUAAUAUAUCCUAGAGAAUGUUCUGUGUGCACUUGAGAAGAAUGUGUAUGCUGCUACUUUUGGAUGGAAUAUUCUAUAAACAUCUAUUAUGUCCAUCUGUUCAAAUGCAUCAUUUAAAGCCUUUGUUUCCUUGUUGAUUUUCUGUCUGGUUGAUUUUCUGUCCAUUGCUGUAAGUGGGGUGUCAAAGUCCCCUGCUAUUAAUGUGUUAUUGUCAAUUUCUCUUUUCAAGUUGUUAGCAGUUGUCUUAUAUAUUGAGGUGAUCCUAUGUUGGGUGUAUAUAUACUUACCAUUGUUAUAUCUUCUUGCAUUGAUGAUUAUGUAAUGUCCUUUUUUGUCUCUUAUAAUAUUCUUUAUUUUAAGGUCUAUUUUGUCUGAUGUGAGUAUUGCUGCUCCAGGUUUCUGUUGAUUUCUGUUUGCAUGGAAUAUUUUCUUCCAUCCUCUCACUUUCAAUUUGUGUGUGUCCCUAGAAGUGAAGUGAGUCUCUUGAAGACAGCAUAUAUUUGGGUCUUGUUUUUGUAUCCAUUCAGCCAGUCUAUGUCUUUUGGUUGGGGCAGUUGGCCCAUUUACAUUUAAGGUAAUUAUUGAUAUGUAUGUUCUUAUUGCCAUUUAAUUAAUUGUUUUGGAUUUGUUUUUGUUGGUCUUUUUUCUUCCCUUGUUCUCUUCUCUUGUGGUUUGAUGACUAUCUUUAGUGUUAUGUUUGGGUUGCUUUUUCUUAUUUGUGUAUGUAUCUAUGGUAGAUUUUUGGUUUGCAGUUACCAUGAAGUUUUGAAAUAGUAUAUAUAUGUAUAAUAGUAUAUAUAUUUGUGUGUGUAUGUAUAUAUACACACAAAAUUGUUUUCAGUUAUUGGUCUCUUAAUUGCAAGUGUAUCUUCAGUAUCCUGCAUUCAUACCCUCCCCUUCUCACGAUUUCUGGUUUUGAUAGCAUAUUUGUGUGUGGAUGAUUUCCUGACUUUACUAUAUAUGGCUUUACCAGUGAGCCUUGCUUUUGUUUCUAGUCGUGGCCUUUUCUUUUCCACUUGAGAAGUUUCUUUAGUAUUUGUUAGGCUAGUUUAGUGGUGCUGAAUUCUCUUAGCUUUUGCUUGUCUGUAAAGCUUUUGAUUUCACCUUCAAAUCUGAAUGAAAGCCUUGCUGGGUAGAAUAAGCUUGGAUGAAGGUUUUUCCCUUUUAUCACUUUGAGUAUAUCAUGCCACUCCCUUCUGGCCUGCAGAGUUUCUGCUGAAAAAUCAACUGACAGCCUUAUCAGGGUUCCCAUGUAAGUUAUUUGUUUUUUUUCCCUAGAUGCUUUCAAUAUUCUCUUUGUCUUUAAUUUUGGUCAGUUUCAUUACUGUGUGUCCCAGGGUGUUCCUCCUUGGGUUUAUUUCUAUGAUACUCAUUGUGCGUCCUGAAUUUUAGUGAAUGAUUCCUUUCCCAUAUUAGAAAAGUUUUUUGCUGUUAUCUCUUCAAAUAUUUUCUCUGGCCCUUUUUCUCUCUCUUCUCCUUCUGGCACCCCUGUGAUAUGGAUAUUGGUGCUUUUAACAUUGUCCCCAAAAUAUGUAUUUUUUGCUUUUUUGCUUUUUGGGGCUGGAUCCGUGGCAUUUGUAGGUUCCCAGGUUAGGGGUCAAAUUGGAGCUACAGCUGCUGGCCUACACCACAGCCACAGCAGUGUGGCUCCAAGCUGCAUCUGCAGCCUACACCACAGCUCAUGUAACACCGUAUCUCUGACCCACCGAGUGAGGCCAGGGAUCGAACCCGUAUCCUCAUGGAUAUUAGUUGGAUUCAUUUCUGCUGCACCACAAUGGGAACUUCUUUUUUAAAUUUUAAUUAUAUUUUUUGGUUUUGAUUUCUAGCUUAAUUAGUCAGAAAGUGUAUUCUCUAUGUUCUAAAUCCCUUAUUAUUUCUGAAAAUUUGUUUUGGCUCGCUGGAUUUUUUUUAAUUUCCAAUUGAAUUUGAGAAAAGUGUAUAUAUUCUGCAGCAGUUUUUGAGUGUAGUGUUCCUGUAUAUCUAUUGAGACAAAUUUAUUAAUAUUCUUUAAUCAUCUAUAUCUAAUUUUUAUAUUGUUCAGUUAGGAAAUGUUAGAUUUGUCUAUUUGUCCUCUUACUACUGUUAAUUUUUGUUGUAUGUAUUUCCAAGUUGUAUUAUUAUAUGUAUAAUUCAUUUUAAGUUAUUUUUUGUGGUGAACCUAACCUCUAUCAUGAAUUGACCCUCUUUACCUCUAGAAUUGCUUGAAAUGUUUUUUACCAUAGUCUUUUUUGUUUGUUUUUGCUUAAUAUUAAUAUUGUACCAGGCAUCUUUUGAUUAGUAUUUUCAUGAUAAAUUUUUUGUCUUAUUUUGAGUUUCUGUGUAUCCUUAUAUUUUAUAUGUAUCACUUUUAAGUGUCACAUAUUUGGUUUUUGUUUUAUCCAGUUGCACUUUUCUAAAAAUCCCCUGUGCUUUGUCUAUUCAUCUUUCCAUCCCCACAACCCCUGGCAACAACUCAUUUUCAUAGUUUUGCCUUUUCCAGAGUAUUAUAUACUUGGAAUUAUAUAUAGUAUGUUACAUUUUUCAGAUUGGCUUCUUUCACUUAGUGAUAUGCAUCUACGAUUCGUCUGAAUCUUUUCAUGGCUUGAU
rnacentral:lncRNA from 1 species